UACGUAGGUGGCAAGCGUUGUCCGGAUUUAUUGGGUUUAAAGGGUGCGUAGGCGGCCCUGUAAGUCAGUGCUGAAAUAUCCCAGCUUAACUGGGAGGGUGGCAUUGAUACUGCGGGGCUAGAGUACAGAUGAGGUAGGCGGAAUUGACGGUGUAGCGGUGAAAUGCAUAGAUAUGCCAUAGAACACCAAUUGCGAAGGCAGCUGGCUAGACCUGGAUUGACGCUGAGGCACGAAAGCGUGGGGAGCGAACAGG
rnacentral:rRNA from 1 species